rnacentral:rRNA from 1 species
GAUGAACGCUGGCGGCGUGCUUAACACAUGCAAGUCGAACGAUGAAGCUCAGCUUGCUGGGUGGAUUAGUGGCGAACGGGUGAGUAACACGUGAGUAACCUGCCCUUAACUCUGGGAUAAGCCUGGGAAACUAGGUCUAAUACCGGAUAGGAGCGCCUACCGCAUGGUGGGCGUUGGAAAGAUUUAUCGGUUUUGGAUGGACUCGCGGCCUAUCAGCUUGUUGGUGAGGUAAUGGCUCACCAAGGCGACGACGGGUAGCCGGCCUGAGAGGGUGACCGGCCACACUGGGACUGAGACACGGCCCAGACUCCUACGGGAGGCAGCAGUGGGGAAUAUUGCACAAUGGGCGAAAGCCUGAUGCAGCGACGCCGCGUGAGGGAUGACGGCCUUCGGGUUGUAAACCUCUUUCAGUAGGGAAGAAGCGAAAGUGACGGUACCUGCAGAAGAAGCACCGGCUAACUACGUG